rnacentral:rRNA from 1 species
AGAACGAACGCUGGCGGCAGGCUUAACACAUGCAAGUCGAACGGUUGUAGCAAUACAGCAGUGGCAGACGGGUGAGUAACCCGUGGGAACCUUCCUAGGGGUACGGAACAACUCAGGGAAACUUGAGCUAAUACCGUAUACGUCCGUGAGGAGAAAGAUUUAUCGCCCCUAGACGGGCCCGCGUAGGAUUAGGUAGUUGGUGAGGUAACGGCUCACCAAGCCUACGAUCCUUAGCUGAUCUGAGAGGAUGAUCAGCCACACUGGGACUGAGACACGGCCCAGACUCCUACGGGAGGCAGCAGUGGGGGAAUCUUGGACAAUGGGCGCAAGCCUGAUCCAGCCAUGCCGCGUGAGUGAAGAAGGCCUUCGGGUUGUAAAGCUCUUUUACCAGGGACGAUAAUGACGUACCUGGAGAAUAAGUCCCCGGACAAACUUCGUCGCCAGCAGCCGC